AUUGAACGCUGGCGGCAUGCCUUACACAUGCAAGUCGAACGGCAGCACGGGUGCUUGCCCCUGGUGGCGAGUGGCGAACGGGUGAGUAAUACAUCGGAACAUGUCCUGUAGUGGGGGAUAGCCCGGCGAAAGCCGGAUUAAUACCGCAUACGAUCUACGGAUGAAAGCGGGGGACCUUCGGGCCUCGCGCUAUCGGGUUGGCCGAUGGCUGAUUAGCUAGUUGGUGGGGUAAAGGCCUACCAAGGCGACGAUCAGUAGAUGGUCUGAGAGGACGACCAGCCACACUGGGACUGAGACACGGCCCAGACUCCUACGGGAGGCAGCAGUGGGGAAUUUUGGACAAUGGGCGAAAGCCUGAUCCAGCAAUGCCGCGUGUGUGAAGAAGGCCUUCGGGUUGUAAAGCACUUUUGUCCGGAAAGAAAUCCUUGGCUCUAAUACAGUCGGGGGAUGACGGUACCGGAAGAAUAAGCACCGGCUAACUACGUG
rnacentral:rRNA from 1 species